ensembl:lncRNA
GGGAAUCCGAUCAGAACGAGACCUGUUGUCUCCUUAGCAGAGUGUUGAUUAGGUCAGAGCCAGAUGCUGUUGCAGUAAGUUGGAAAAAGCAUGCAAGACAUUGAGGUUUUAGUUGUGCAAGAGCUGAAGACAGAGUGUUUGUUCCUUGCUUAGCGUGGAAGAAGAAUUCAGGACCUUCAUGUCUCAGAGUACCAGGACCAGCUUUGUCAUGCAUCCCCUGAGAUAUCGUACAUAGUGAAUUAUGUCCUAAUGAAGCAAAGAUGGAAUCCUUACAGUCUUCCCGGCUUCGGAUAUUUUUAUUGCACAAAAGAAACUAUAUUUUGCCACUUUCAAAUCAAAACUAAUAGAAUUGGUUUUCUAAUACAAAUAAUAAGAUCAGUGCAUGACUCCCAGCACAGGUUUCAGAAUGGUUGAAUGGAGUAUGACAGAUGUUGGUGUAUUUGGUGAACUCUCUCCCUGCUUGAGUUUAUUGACGCCACUGAAGGAAAGAGUUGAAAACUUACGAGCAGCCUUUGGUAGUAAUGGUGAAACUACCAGGAGAACGAACCGGUUCGUGGAGAUGUUGAACAACUCCGAGCAGCUCUCUAUUCGCGCACAUACAGAGCAGCUGAGACCCACAGAGCCAAAGUCAGAACCCGACUAACGUGGGUUUAAGGGGAAGAAGAGAGUUUUUCUUAUGGAAGCAGCUCGUCCCGCACUGCCCCCGUCCCAGCUCAGAGCAGCGGCGGUCCGGAUGCAGUGAUGCCCAGCGGCCGCCAGGGGGCGCUGUGACCCCACCGACUCCCGGACCGGCGCCGCGCGGAGCGCUCGUGGAGCCGCGAGCAAACCCAAGUUGGAAAUCCUUUUUGUCUUCAGAUGUUCCGAGCCACUAUUCCAGCAAAGGAAAUGAAAAAGGGAAACUAAACGAGCUUUCUUCUCCCCCCCCUCCUCCCCCCCCGACCUCUCUCUGGUUUCUAUUUGUAAUACUUUAUUUCUACAACAAGCACAAACCACUACAAAGAC